GGUACGCUAGCGGCAGGACUAACACAUGCAAGUCGAACGGGAUUUAAUAGCUUGCUAUUAAUGAGAGUGGCGCACGGGUGAGUAACGCGUAUGCAACCUACCUUAUACUGGGGAAUAGCCCGGAGAAAUUCGGAUUAAUACCCCAUAGUAUUAUUGAAUCGCAUGGUUUAAUAAUUAAAGAUUUAUCGGUAUAAGAUGGGCAUGCGUCCUAUUAGCUAGAUGGAGAGGUAACGGCUCCCCAUGGCUACGAUAGGUAGGGGUUCUGAGAGGAUGGUCCCCCACACUGGAACUGAGGCACGGUCCAGACUCCUACGGGAGGCAGCAGUGAGGAAUAUUGGUCAAUGGACGGAAGUCUGAACCAGCCAUGCCGCGUGCAGGAAUAAGGUCCUAUGGAUUGUAAACUGCUUUUAUUUGGGAAUAAACCUCCUUACGUGUAGGGAGCUGAAGGUACCAAAGGAAUAAGCACCGGCUAACUCCGUGCCAGCAGCCGCGGUAAUACGGAGGGUGCAAGCGUUAUCCGGAAUCAUUGGGUUUAAAGGGUCCGCAGGCGGGCUGAUAAGUCAGAGGUGAAAUCCCACAGCUUAACUGUGGAACUGCCUUUGAAACUGUUAGUCUUGAAUUAAGAUGGCGUUGGCGGAAUAGGUCAUGUAGCGGUGAAAUGCAUAGAUAUGACCUAGAACACCGAAAGCGAAGGCAGCUAACGAAUCUUAUAUUGACGCUCAUGGACGAAAGCGUGGGUAGCGAACAGGAUUAGAUACCCUGGUAGUCCACGCCGUAAACGUUGAUUACUCGUUUUUGGGUACUUCGGUAUUCAGAGGCCAAGCGAAAGUGAUAAGUAAUCCACCUGGGGAGUACGCUCGCAAGGGUGAAACUCAAAUGAAUUGACGGAAGGGCGA
rnacentral:rRNA from 1 species